rnacentral:rRNA from 1 species
AUACGAAAGGUGCAAGCGUUGUUCGGAAUUACUGGGCGUAAAGCGCGCGUAGGCGGUCUGUUAUGUCAGAUGUGAAAGUCCUCGGCUCAACCGGGGAAGUGCAUUUGAAACUGGCAGACUUGAGUACUGGAGGGGGUGGUGGAAUUCCCGGUGUAGAGGUGAAAUUCGUAGAUAUCGGGAGGAAUACCGGUGGCGAAGGCGACCACCUGGCCAGAUACUGACGCUGAGGUGCGAAAGCGUGGGGAGCAAACAGCAUUAGAAACCCUAGUAGUCC